rnacentral:lncRNA from 1 species
UGGCGGACACAACAUGCACAUAUCAUAUUUAUCUUAACUCAAUACUUUUAACGCGGAUCAUAAAUUUAUUAAAAUUACAACAAAUAAAAGUCUAAACUCAUGGUUUAGAAAGUACAAGAAGAUCAAUACUAAAAAGUAAAAACUUUAAAAGAUUGAACUUAUAAAAUUAAAAUGUUGAAUCCACACCUUAGAGCCUUUAAGUAAAUUUAAUACAUCAAUUAAUGUAGCACAAAACCCUUGGCUGUUGCAACAUUAGAUAAGCUCUGCCAUCAAUAGGUGAGAACCUCCUGUAUCAAAUAAUAUUUCCAUUUAACAGCAAUCCUUUGCAUAAAUAAAUAUUAUAAAACUAAGUUAAUUAAUUAAAGAAGACCAGUAAAAAUAAAGAAAGUAUUAUUUACAUGUAUUUGUGUAGUCAUCUCCAAGUUUUCAAGCAAUUUGAGUCUGGAUAGCUUCAUUUGAUAUAAGUGCUCUUAAAUCAUCAUCUGUUAUAUUCUGAAGAAAAACACAAAUGUAAGAACAGAUAAAUAGGUAAAAACAUACAAUAACAACAAUAUAUACCUAGUAGAAUUUUAUAAGGUUUAUGUAGGAUAGGAUAUACGUAAUCCUUACCAGGGUGGAGCUACACUACUGUUAAGGUGUCAUACUUUGUCUCUAC